CUGGCUUAUAACGUUGGUUUCCCAGUGGCCAAAUAAAGCUGGAGUGGAAUGCCUUGGAAAAAUCUCAUUCCUCUCCCAACAAGGCACAUGAUGAAACCUCUGGAGGGGCAUGAGCUACCUGCUGCCUGGUGAUGGGAGCUGAGACGGGGCAGCUGACAUGGACCUGCCACCCUGUGACCCUCAGCAACUCCCUAAAUCCACAGGGAAGCUCUGCUUAGAAACCUCAGGAUGGGAACAAAACACAGUGGUGGGGGACACUGUGUUCCUCUGAUCCUUUGCUCAGCAUUAAGAGGGAUAACUGGAGCCAACUAAGUAAGCAGCUCUUUUGGAUGGCCAGUGUCCAGGGUCAUGGAGAUCCCCCCCCUUCACCUCUCUGCUGUCUACUGAACCACUGGUUGUUGGUCCUGGCAACCAGGCUCAGACUGAGAUUUCUGUGCCCACUGUGCUUGCUCAGCUGUGCCCAGCUUGGCAUUGUCCUCUGAGUGCUGAGAUGUCCGUGCAUUCCUGCCUCUCCUGGGGGAACACAACUCCCAGAGGGAUCUGCAGUCCCUGGAGCGUGCCUGCCUUCAACUUCAUCCCUAGGUUUCUGCCUUAUUGUUUGUAGUUUGAUGUUUAGCUCGCUGAAAAUGUUGGUUUAACACUAGUGGGAGGGGAAGCUCAUAAAGACCAUUUUGCUUUGGCUCUUUUAAAAAGCAAAACAAAAGCAAAAGGCUUUUAAAAAAUGUUUUCGUUUCAAAGUUAUAAAGGAAAGAUGGGUUAGAGAUGAGAAAAGGACAAAUAGAUGCUUGUGAAACCUGCUGUGGAGGAAGAAACACAAGAUCUUUUGUUUGAAGAUGAACAGAAAGCUGAAACCAGCAAAAAUUCCCCCCUCCCCACCUGCACAGAUGCUUCAGGUUGGUUCUUCUAGAUUGGCGCAUUGCUGGAUGAAAAGCAAACUCAUUCUUUUCCCUGUUGGGGCUCCAGGUUCCCGUUGCUUACAUUUCAUCAUCUUGUAGUGACUUUGAUCCCUGAAGACUCCUUAGGUGCUUUACAAAUCAGGCACGCAAACCUCGGCUCAUCUGCCUCAGAGAUGCCACCAGGGCUGGGUGAGCCAGGAGGCUGCUGGUCAGCGUGGUGCCACCCUCCUGGCAGCAGCUGGGAAGGAUGGGAAGGACCUGCUCAUUCAGUAAGGCUUAUAAAAGCCUUUAGUGGCCAUAUUACCACCAUCUGCAGGGAUGUUUUGUGCUUCCAGCUCUGGAAACCCAGUGGCAAAUUUAACCCCCAUUUCUCCCUUUUCCUUGAGGUGAUGAGAUGAUCUUUAAGAUCCCUUCCAAUCCAAUUCUAUGGUUCUGUGAGACAGCACAGACCUUCCAGAUCUCCUGAUCCAAGUCCCAGAGCUGAGCAAAGGUAGGUUGCUGCUGAUGACCAGACCCCACAGUGAUGGGCACACUGGAGCUGGACCAGGGCAGACAGCGUGUUACAGCCUGUGCCUGUCGUCUGCCUCAGCCUGUGUGUGUGUUUAUUGACCUAUGCAAUUUUUUUUUUUUUUCAGACUAAGUCUCCUGGGAGCCUGGAAGCUGAAUUCCCUUCCAUGUACCUGAGGGUGCUGGAGAGUCUGGCUGCCAGCGAUCGGGUCCCAAAGCCACCACGAAAGUCAUCGCAGGCAGGUGGGGAGCAGCACUAGAGCUGCUCUGACCAUGGGGUACCAGGUGCUGGAGACACCCAAGUGGAUGCUGCCAAUGGAAGUGCUGCCUCCCUGCCCACAGGGACAGCUGUCCGGAGCACAAGAGCCAGCUUGUCCUCAGAGAGGAGACACCACGGUCCUGCUGGUAAAGGCUGGCAGAAAAUCCUCUCCCCAUGUAAGCAGCAGGAUCCCCAGCCCUGCCAUGUGCACAGCCAGCUGCCCCCUGCCCUACAAUGGGCUCUGCAUCCUCCUCCCAGCACAAAGGGCAGGAAAACACAGCCCUGCUCCAUUGCUGCUUACGGUGUCACAGCCCCACUCCUCAGGCUCUGGGGACGGGCAGGGGAACUGGCUAUGAAACCACAACUGGUCUUUGUGAAGAAAAGUCAAACUCCUCUUGGUGCCACGCAGGGCCUGGGACAGUGCAGGAGGUGCAUCUGGUGUUGGUGGGAGACUCACCCUGGCCUGGGGCUGCUCUUGGCAAGGCAUCUGGGAAGUGCCUCUGGGGUGAGAAAGUUGAGCGCUUGCCAGGUACAGAACUGGACAGAUCAAGAAGUCAAGA